GUUCUUGAAAGUUGUUGGGAAAGAGAAGAUGAAAUGCAGACAGAGACGUGACUCUGGAAGAGAAAAGAUGUUCUUGGCGCAGUAAUGAUCUGCCAAUAGCCCUCUUUUCUUAGAGCCCAUGCCUUCCCAACUUCUUCAUCUGAUCUGCUGCUCAUCCAAGGAGUACUCUUCUAAUUUUUAAGUGACUCAAUGUCAAGUCGUGGUUGCUAGGAGCCUCCUCAGACGCAUCGUCACCUAACAGCAGCAGAAGACUGGGUUGUGGUCCUAAACUGCAGCCCUGAUCACUGCUUGGCAUAGAUGUUCUGGGAGGCCCAGUAUCUGCCCAGCUACCUUGCCAGACAUUUCUAGCUCUAGGAGUGAGUAUUUCUGUACUCUGCUUUCCUUCCUAUCAGUCCACCCCGGGAACCUUUUAUUAAGUAUUUCUCAUUGUACUUUCAUGCUCAACCUGAAAACAGUUCCUCAUCACCUGUACCUGCCCUUUCCCCACUCUCUGUCCUAACCUACCCAGGACCUUCCCAGUCACCUUCUCUAUGGUAAAAUGGUUACAAACUCUUGGAUGUUAUAUGACACUCAGAACGUUAGUUUUUUUUAUUUCAAG
rnacentral:lncRNA from 1 species